rnacentral:rRNA from 1 species
UACGAAGGGGGCUAGCGUUGUUCGGAUUUACUGGGCGUAAAGCGCGUGUAGGCGGAUUUGUAAGUUGGGGGUGAAAUCCCGAGGCUCAACCUCGGAACUGCCUCCAAAACUGGCGAGCUAGAGUAUGGUAGAGGGUGGUGGAAUUUCCUGUGUAGCGGUGAAAUGCGUAGAUAUAGGAAGGGACACCAGUGGCGAAAGCGGCUUCCUGGUCCAGCACCGACGUUCAGGCACGAAAGCGUGGGGAGCAAACAGG